rnacentral:rRNA from 1 species
GAUGAACGCCGGCGGUGUGCCUAAUAUAUGCAAGUCGAACGCGUUGGCCCAACUGAUUGACGAUGCUUGCAUCCGAUUGACGUUGGAUUUCCAACGAGUGGCGGACGGGUGAGUAACACGUAGGUAACCUGCCCAGAAGCGGGGGAUAACAUCUGGAAACAGGUGCUAAUACCGCAUAACAAUUCAAAUCGCAUGGUUUGAAUUUAAAAGAUGGCUCUGCUAUCACUUCUGGAUGGACCUGCGGCGCAUUAGCUUGUUGGUAGGGUAAUGGCCUACCAAGGCGGUGAUGCGUAGCCGAGUUGAGAGACUGAUCGGCCACAAUGGGACUGAGACACGGCCCAUACUCCUACGGGAGGCAGCAGUAGGGAAUCUUCCACAAUGGGCGCAAGCCUGAUGGAGCAACACCGCGUGAGUGAAGAAGGGUUUCGGCUCGUAAAGCUCUGUUGUUGAAGAAGAACGUGCAUGAGAGUAACUGUUCAUGCAGUGACGGUAUUCAACCAGAAAGUCACGGCUAACUACGUGCCAGCAGCCGCGGUAAUACGUAGGUGGCAAGCGUUAUCCGGAUUUAUUGGGCGUAAAGAGAGUGCAGGCGGUUUCUUAAGUCUGAUGUGAAAGCCUUCGGCUCAACCGAAGAAGUGCAUCGGAAACUGGGAGACUUGAGUACAGAAGAGGGCAGUGGAACUCCAUGUGUAGCGGUGGAAUGCGUAGAUAUAUGGAAGAACACCAGUGGCGAAGGCGGCUGCCUGGUCUGUAACUGACGCUGAGACUCGAAAGCAUGGGUAGCGAACAGG